AUCAAAAUAUUCCUUCAAACUUGAAUGAGCCUGAAUGCAUUGAUGGUAAGCGAGAGCAUGAAGCCAUGUUAAGAAAUUUAGAAGCAGAUGCUAGAUCUCCAAGCAUUUGUGAUUCAAGUGAUAACAGUCAGAGUGAUAAGGUACGAGUAUCAUCCAUUUCUUGAAUCACGGCUGUAAGAUUGAUAUAUAUGCGAUGCAUUAUUGGGUUUGCUUUGAUAGAAAUAUGGUUUGGUUUCCAAAUUAGAUACCUGAAAGCUUUCUUGGUACUGAAAAUAUUCACGAGGAUUCAAGUGAGUCAAAUAAUGUGGUUGCUGAGCAUCUUGAUCCUAAUUCACAUGAAACAGUUAGACUUUCAGGCAAUGAAAGUAGUACAUCUGUGCAGUCAUGUCAACAGCUUGGUGAAAACAAUGAGGACUCACUGGAUCUGCUCGUAUCACAUAAGCAAGUUGAUUUGAGUGAUAACAGUCAG